rnacentral:rRNA from 1 species
AUUGAACGCUGGCGGCAGGCCUAACACAUGCAAGUCGAGCGGCGCGGCGGACGGGGAAGUAAUGCCGAGGAAUCUACCUGUUGGUAAGGGACAAAGCACAGAAGCGUACGCUUAUACCGCAGACUAUCAGAGCACCCUAGGUCGGAUUAGCUGGUUGGUGGGGUAAAGGCUGACCAAGGCGACGAUCCGUAACUGGUCUGAGAGGAUGAUCAGUAACACUGGGACUGAGACACGGUCCAGACUCCUACGGGAGGCAGCAGUGGGGAAUAUUGGACAAUGGGCGAAAGUCUGAUCCAGCCAUGCCGCGUGUGUGAAGAAGGUUUUCGGAUCGUAAAGCACUUUAAGUUGGGAGGCGUUAUCUACAGAAUAAGCCCCGGCUAACUACGUGCCAGCAGCCGCGGUAAUAC